AUGGUAACUUGUAAGUGUGAUACAUCAACUGGAUACUUGGAAAAACUAAAUCACCCAGAGCAUUUUAGGUCUAACAUGUCUUUGUUACUGGACUGGUCUCCAUAUCGAUCAGAAGCAGAAGUCUUGAAACAAGGCGGUGCUUUAUGGUUUCAGAAUGUAACUGAAUUCUCUCAAGGUUAUUCAGGGACAAAUUUGACAUAG